CAGUAAAUGAUGGACUGUUUGUUGAUUUGUAAUCAUAUAAGACAGGGCUGUGAAUGAGGCCUGUCAGUGUGAUCAGGCUCCUCCUUCUAAUCCACCAACUUAGUGUUGAUGAAGACUAAACAGAGAGAUCACAGCCUUCUUUCUACUUGCUGUAGCUCACAGUUACUCAACACUGCAGAUAUGACGCAGCCUCUGUUCAUCUCAGUGUUGCUGGCUGCUCUGUGCCUUGAAUGCAGAGCACAAAGAGACAACGUGCUGCAACCAAAAGGAGAUGUGACUGCGACUGAAGGAGAGGAAGUAACACUUGACUGUCAAUAUAACAGCAGUUCAUCAAAUGAUUAUCUCUUCUGGUACAAACAGGAUGGAAACAACAGCCCCAAAUUCAUACUGAUGCGUUAUAAAGGGGAUGAAGGGAACAUAGCAGACGAAUUUAAGAAAAGAUUUUCAUCCACACUGGAUUCAACCUCAAGAUCAGUUCCUCUGAAGAUCCAGAAGCUUCAGCUGUCUGACUCUGCUGUGUACUACUGUGCUCUGCGGCCCACAGUGACAGGAAACACCAAAACUCUGUACAAAAACCUUUGGAGCAAAGACAACAGAAUACUCCACAACAUCCACUAGAGGGAGUCACACACUGUUUUUGAGGGAUAUUAUUUAUGUC